rnacentral:rRNA from 1 species
AAAAAAAAACGUGAGUAACCUGCCCUUGACUUUGGGAUAACUUCAGGAAACUGGGGCUAAUACCGGAUAGGAGCUCCUGCUGCAUGGUGGGGGUUGGAAAGUUUCGGCGGUUGGGGAUGGACUCGCGGCUUAUCAGCUUGUUGGUGGGGUAGUGGCUUACCAAGGCUUUGACGGGUAGCCGGCCUGAGAGGGUGACCGGCCACAGUGGGACUGAGAUACGGCCCAGACGCCUACGGGAGGCAGCAGUGGGGAAUAUUGCACAAUGGGGGGAAGCCUGAUGCAGCAACGUCGUUUUUUUUUUAAUGACACGCCGGCCACAGAC